rnacentral:rRNA from 1 species
UUCGCCCUUGUUGAUCCCGCCGGACCCGACUGCUAUCAGAGUGGGACUAAGCCAUGCGAGUUAACGUAGCAAUACGUGGCAUACGGCUCAGUAACACGUAGUCAACAUGCCCAUGGGACGUGGAUAACCUCGGGAAACUGAGGAUAAACCGCGAUAGGUCAUGAUUUCUGGAAUGAUUCAUGGCCGAAAUCUACAUGGCCCCUGGAUUGGACUGCGGCCGAUCAGGCUGUUGGUGAGGUAAUGGCCCACCAAACCUGUUACCGGUACGGGCCCUGAGAGGAGGAGCCCGGAGAUGGGCACUGAGACAAGGGCCCAGGCCCUAUGGGGCGCAGCAGGCGCGAAACCUCUGCAAUAGGCGAAAGCCUGACAGGGUUACUCUGAGUGGUUUCCGCUAAGGGAAUCUUUUGGCACCUCUACAAAUGGUGCAGAAUAAGGGGUGGGCAAGUCUGGUGUCAGCCGCCGCGGUAAUACCAGCACCCCGAGUGGUCGGGACGAUUAUUGGGCCUAAAGCAUCCGUAGCCGGCCCUGCAAGUCUUCCGUUAAAUCCAGCUGCUCAACAGAUGGGCUGCGGAGGAUACUACAGGGCUAGGAGGCGGGAGAGGCAAGCGGUACUUUAUGGGUAGGGGUAAAAUCCGUUGAUCCAU